rnacentral:rRNA from 1 species
UACAGAGGUCCCAAGCGUUGUUCGGAUUCAUUGGGCGUAAAGGGCGCGUAGGCGGCGUGGUAAGUCACUUGUGAAAUCUCCGGGCUUAACUCGGAACGGUCAAGUGAUACUGCUGCGCUAGAGUGCGGAAGGGGCAACUGGAAUUCUCGGUGUAGCGGUGAAAUGCGUAGAUAUCGAGAGGAACACCUGCGGCGAAGGCGGCUUUCUGGGACGGUACUGACGCUGAGACGCGAAAGCGUGGGGAGCGAACAGG